GCCCGUGAUGCUCAGCUAGCCCGGGCAGAUCCGGCGUGCCCGCCUUGGCCCCCAUGCCCGAUCCAGAUUCUGUGCCGCUGGUAGACUUCACUGCCAUAUCCAACACCAGUAUCGUCCUCUUCAAUUUCGCUGCCCUCCACUCCACCAAGCCCAUCCCUUUUCAGAUUGCAAGAUUUAUCCGAUGCUCACGUUGAUUAGAGUGAUGUUGUAUACUCCUCUUUUCUCUCCUCGUCCCUCCCUCCGUCGGCUGUGGUUCAACCACGCAUGCCUUUGGUAACCAUGGGUUGCAGAUGGCAGCUUUGGUGGCGGCACUGUUUAGCCUAACGGUUGGUGCCGUGGUUGGAUUUGGAGAUCUCUAUACAACCUGGUUUCUGUUCCAGGAUCCAUGGAUUUGCAGAUGGCGGCUAUGGAGGCGACACCCUCCUGAUGGAGAUGGUCGUGAUAGAGUGCGUGUGUGCCGCUAAAGGUCGAUCCGAGUUCCAUCCACCUCCAUUUAGCUACUUCAAAUCUCCAACAAACUUUUGCUCGAUAGCCUUGUUGUCAUCUUAUGUCGUCGUAUGUGCCCUUCUUCUAAACUCCUCCACUGGGUAAACCACCUCCUUUUGGGGAGAUACCAUUCACUAGUGGCGCUCUUGGAGAGUAUGUGACCAUCCUGUCGCUCUCCUCCUCCUCUCGGAAUAACCACCCUCCGGUGGAGGAUCUGCGUGACAUUUAUGCGUGCUCGAUGAGCCCCGCUGUCUAUUGUUUUCCCCAAUGAUGGCAUCGGUGCGGCUUCCUGAUGAUGAUGCUUCGGUUUUCUCGGCUUAGUUUCCAAGCUUUGGUUUGAGCUCUCUGGUUAUGAUCCCCCGCCCUCUGGUGCUGUCUAUGACAGUCCUCCUCCUAUUGCUUGUGAUACCCCGUUCGUUGCUCAUGUUUACUGGGUUCAUCGGUGUUGUGUUGUAAUCAUGUACUGGGUUUUUUGUUUUUUCCUAUGUGUUCUUGCUCCGGCAAGUUGUAUUGCUCCUCGGGCUUUCUUUUGGGAAUAUAUUCAGGUGGGGUUUUCACCAC
rnacentral:lncRNA from 1 species